rnacentral:rRNA from 3 species
CCUUGAAAUACCACCCUUUAAUGUUUGAUGUUCUAACGUGGACCCGUGAUCCGGGUUGCGGACAGUGUCUGGUGGGUAGUUUGACUGGGGCGGUCUCCUCCUAAAGAGUAACGGAGGAGCACGAAGGUUGGCUAAUCCUGGUCGGACAUCAGGAGGUUAGUGCAAUGGCAUAAGCCAGCUUGACUGCGAGCGUGACGGCGCGAGCAGGUGCGAAAGCAGGUCAUAGUGAUCCGGUGGUUCUGAAUGGAAGGGCCAUCGCUCAACGGAUAAAAGGUACUCCGGGGAUAACAGGCUGAUACCGCCCAAGAGUUCAUAUCGACGGCGGUGUUUGGCACCUCGAUGUCGGCUCAUCACAUCCUGGGGCUGAAGUAGGUCCCAAGGGUAUGGCUGUUCGCCAUUUAAAGUGGUACGCGAGCUGGGUUUAGAACGUCGUGAGACAGUUCGGUCCCUAUCUGCCGUGGGCGCUGGAGAACUGAGGGGGGCUGCUCCUAGUACGAGAGGACCGGAGUGGACGCAUCACUGGUGUUCGGGUUGUCAUGCCAAUGGCACUGCCCGGUAGCUAAAUGCGGAAGAGAUAAGUGCUGAAAGCAUCUAAGCACGAAACUUGCCCCGAGAUGAGUUCUCCCUGAGACUUAGAGUCUCCUGAAGGAACGUUGAAGACGACGACGUUGAUAGGCCGGGUGUGUAAGCGCAGCGAUGCGUUGAGCUAACCGGUACUAAUGAACCGUGAGGCUUAACCUUACA